ACGGGGAGCAGCAGGCGCGAAACCUUUACACUGCACGACAGUGCGAUAGGGGGACUCCGAGUGCGAGGGCAUAGAGCCCUCGCUUUUCUGUACCCUAAGGUGGUACAAGAAUAAGGGCUGGGCAAGACCGGUGCCAGCCGCCGCGGUAAUACCGGCAGCCCAAGUGAUGGCCGAUAUUAUUGGGCCUAAAGCGUCCGUAGCUGGCCGGACAAGUCUGUUGGGAAAUCCGCAUGCUUAACGUGCGGGUGUCCAGCGGAAACUGUCCGGCUUGGGACCGGAAGACCCGAGGGGUACGUCCGGGGUAGGAGUGAAAUCCCGUAAUCUCGGACGGACUACCUGUGGCGAAAGCGCCUCGGGAAGACGGAUCCGACAGUGAGGGACGAAAGCCAGGGUCUCGAACCGGAUUAGAUACCCGGGUAGUCCUGGCUGUAAACGAUGUCCGCUAGGUGUGACGCAGGCUACGAGCCU
rnacentral:rRNA from 1 species